UGGGGGAUAUUGCGCAAUGGGGGCAACCCUGACGCAGCAACGCCGCGUGAAGGAUGAAGGUUUUCGGAUUGUAAACUUCUUUUAUUAAGGACGAAACUUGACGGUACUUAAUGAAUAAGCUCCGGCUAACUACGUGCCAGCAGCCGCGGUAAUACGUAGGGAGCAAGCGUUGUCCGGAUUUACUGGGUGUAAAGGGUGCGUAGGCGGCUUUGCAAGUCAGAUGUGAAAUCUAUGGGCUCAACCCAUAAACUGCAUUUGAAACUGUAGAGCUUGAGUGAAGUAGAGGCAGGCGGAAUUCCCCGUGUAGCGGUGAAAUGCGUAGAGAUGGGGAGGAACACCAGUGGCGAAGGCGGCCUGCUGGGCUUUAACUGACGCUGAGGCACGAAAGCGUGGGUAGCAAACAGGAUUAGAUACCCUGGUAGUCCACGCUGUAAACGAUGAUUACUAGGUGUGGGGGGUCUGACCCCUUCCGUGCCGGAGUUAACACAAUAAGUAAUCCACCUGGGGAGUACGGCCGCAAGGUUGAAACUCAAAGGAAUUGACGGGGGCCCGCACAAGCAGUGGAGUAUGUGGUUUAAUUCGAAGCAACGCGAAGAACCUUACCAGGUCUUGACAUCCAACUAACGAAGUAGAGAUACAUUAGGUGCCCUUCGGGGAAAGUUGAGACAGGUGGUGCAUGGUUGUCGUCAGCUCGCGUCGUGAGAUGUUGGGUUAAGUCCCGCAACGAGCGCAACCCUUGCUAUUAGUUGCUACGCAAGAGCACUCUAAUAGGACUGCCGUUGACAAAACGGAGGAAGGUGGGGACGACGUCAAAUCAUCAUGCCCCUUAUGACCUGGGCUACACACGUACUACAAUGGAUGUUAACAGAGGGAAGCAAGACAGCGAUGUGGAGCAAACCCCUAAAAACAUUCUCAGUUCAGAUUGCAGGCUGCAACCCGCCUGCAUGAAGAUGGAAUUGCUAGUAAUCGCGGAUCAGCAUGCCGCGGUGAAUACGUUCCC
rnacentral:rRNA from 1 species